GAUGAAGAACGUAGCGAAAUGCGAUAAGUAAUGUGAAUUGCAGAAUUCAGUGAAUCAUCGAAUCUUUGAACGCACAUUGCGCCCGCCAGUAUUCUGGCGGGCAUGCCUGUUCGAGCGUCAUUACAACCCUCAGGCCCCCGGGCCUGGCGUUGGGGAUCGGCGGAAGCCCCCUGCGGGCACAACGCCGUCCCCCAAAUACAGUGGCGGUCCCGCCGCAGCUUCCAUUGCGUAGUAGCUAACACCUCGCAACUGGAGAGCGGCGCGGCCACGCCGUAAAACACCCAACUUCUGAAUGUUAACCUCGAAUCAGGUAGGAAUACCCGCUGAACUUAAGCAUAUCAAUAAGCGGAGGA
rnacentral:misc_RNA from 1 species